AAAUUGAAGAGUUUGAUCAUGGCUCAGAUUGAACGCUGGCGGCAGGCCUAACACAUGCAAGUCGAGCGGUAGCACAGAGAGCUUGCUCUCGGGUGACGAGCGGCGGACGGGUGAGUAAUGUCUGGGAAACUGCCUGAUGGAGGGGGAUAACUACUGGAAACGGUAGCUAAUACCGCAUAACGUCGCAAGACCAAAGUGGGGGACCUUCGGGCCUCAUGCCAUCAGAUGUGCCCAGAUGGGAUUAGCUUGUAGGUGGGGUAACGGCUCACCUAGGCGACGAUCCCUAGCUGGUCUGAGAGGAUGACCAGCCACACUGGAACUGAGACACGGUCCAGACUCCUACGGGAGGCAGCAGUGGGGAAUAUUGCACAAUGGGCGCAAGCCUGAUGCAGCCAUGCCGCGUGUGUGAAGAAGGCCUUCGGGUUGUAAAGCACUUUCAGCGGGGAGGAAGGCGUUAAGGUUAAUAACCUCAUCGAUUGACGUUACCCGCAGAAGAAGCACCGGCUAACUCCGUGCCAGCAGCCGCGGUAAUACGGAGGGUGCAAGCGUUAAUCGGAAUUACUGGGCGUAAAGCGCACGCAGGCGGUCUGUCAAGUCGGAUGUGAAAUCCCCGGGCUCAACCUGGGAACUGCAUUCGAAACUGGCAGGCUAGAGUCUUGUAGAGGGGGGUAGAAUUCCAGGUGUAGCGGUGAAAUGCGUAGAGAUCUGGAGGAAUACCGGUGGCGAAGGCGGCCCCCUGGACAAAGACUGACGCUCAGGUGCGAAAGCGUGGGGAGCAAACAGGAUUAGAUACCCUGGUAGUCCACGCCGUAAACGAUGUCGAUUUGGAGGUUGUGCCCUUGAGGCGUGGCUUCCGGAGCUAACGCGUUAAAUCGACCGCCUGGGGAGUACGGCCGCAAGGUUAAAACUCAAAUGAAUUGACGGGGGCCCGCACAAGCGGUGGAGCAUGUGGUUUAAUUCGAUGCAACGCGAAGAACCUUACCUGGUCUUGACAUCCACAGAACUUUCCAGAGAUGGAUUGGUGCCUUCGGGAACUGUGAGACAGGUGCUGCAUGGCUGUCGUCAGCUCGUGUUGUGAAAUGUUGGGUUAAGUCCCGCAACGAGCGCAACCCUUAUCCUUUGUUGCCAGCGGUCCGGCCGGGAACUCAAAGGAGACUGCCAGUGAUAAACUGGAGGAAGGUGGGGAUGACGUCAAGUCAUCAUGGCCCUUACGACCAGGGCUACACACGUGCUACAAUGGCAUAUACAAAGAGAAGCGACCUCGCGAGAGCAAGCGGACCUCAUAAAGUAUGUCGUAGUCCGGAUUGGAGUCUGCAACUCGACUCCAUGAAGUCGGAAUCGCUAGUAAUCGUAGAUCAGAAUGCUACGGUGAAUACGUUCCCGGGCCUUGUACACACCGCCCGUCACACCAUGGGAGUGGGUUGCAAAAGAAGUAGGUAGCUUAACCUUCGGGAGGGCGCUUACCACUUUGUGAUUCAUGACUGGGGUGAAGUCGUAACAAGGUAACCGUAGGGGAACCUGCGGUUGGAUCACCUCCUUACCUUAAAGAA
rnacentral:rRNA from 1 species